AUACGGAGGAUGCAAGCGUUAAUCGGAAUUACUGGGCGUAAAGCGUGCGCAGGCGGUUUUGUAAGACAGAGGGGAAAUCCCCGGGCUCAACCUGGGAACUGCCUUUGUGACUGAAAGGCUAGAGUACGGCAGAGGGGGGUGGAAUUCCGCGUGUAGCAGUGAAAUGCGUAGAUAUGCGGAGGAACACCGAUGGCGAAGGCAAUCCCCUGUGCCGGUACUAACGCUCAUGCACGAAAGCGUGGGGAGCAAACAGGAUUAGAUACCCUGGUAGUCCACGCCCUAAACGAUGUCAACUGGUUGUUGGGUCUUCAUUGACUCAGUAACGAAGCUAACGCGUGAAGUUGACCGCCUGGGGAGUACGGCCGCAAGGUUGAAACUCAAAUGAAUUGACGGGG
rnacentral:rRNA from 1 species